CACGUAGGGCGCAAGCGUUGUCCGGAAUUAUUGGGCGUAAAGAGCUCGUAGGCGGGUCUGUUGCGUCCGCUGUGAAAACCCGGGGCUUAACCCCUGGCUUGCAGUGGAUACGGACAGACUAGAGGUAGGUAGGGGAGAAAUGGAAUUCCCGGUGUAGCGGUGAAAUGCGCAGAUAUCGGGAGGAACACCGGUGGCGAAGGCGGUUCUCUGGGCCUUACCUGACGCUGAGGAGCGAAAGCGUGGGGAGCGAACAGGG
rnacentral:rRNA from 1 species